rnacentral:rRNA from 1 species
AGCAGCCGCGGUAAUUCCAGCUCCAAUAGCGUAUAUUAAAGUUGUUGCAGUUAAAAAGCUCGUAGUUGAAUUUCGGGAUUGGCGCAUCGGUCGUGCCUUACGGGGUAUGAACUGGUGCAGUCAAUUUCUCACCUUCUGGAGAACCGCGAUGUCCUUAAUUGGGUGCCGCGGGGAACCAGGACCUUUACUUUGAAAAAAUUAGAGUGUUUAAAGCAGGCAUUUUUGCUUGAAUACAUUAGCAUGGAAUAAUAAAAUAGGACGGCAUGGUUCUAUUUUGUUGGUUUCUAGGACCACCGUAAUGAUUAAUAGGGAUAGUUGGGGGCAUUAGUAUUCAAUUGUCAGAGGUGAAAUUCUUGGAUUUAUUGAAGACUAACUACUGCGAAAGCAUUUGCCAAGGAUGUUUUCAUUAAUCAAGAACGAAAGUUAGGGGAUCGAAGACGAUCAGAUACCGUCGUAGUCUUAACCAUAAACUAUGCCGACUAGGAUCAGACGAUGUUAAUUUUUAUGUACUUCGUUUUGG